GAGGUCAAGCCCAGGAGGACUGCCCCGUGCAGACUGGAGGGGACGCUGGUAGAGAUGGAGGAGGAGGCAAUUGGGAUGGCGCUAGGCAUACAAGUAGGGGUUGUGGGUGACCAGUUGCACUUGGCCUCUGGAUUGUGGGAAUUAAGGAAUAAGCCACUGCCACACGUCUGACCCUCUCCACCCCAUAGUGACCGGCUGCUUUUCCCUAAGCCAAGGGCCUCUUGCGGUCCCUUCUUACUCACACACAAAAUGUACCCAGUAUUCUAGGUAGUGCCCUAUUUUACAAUUGUAAAACUGAGGCACGAGCAAAGUGAAGACACUGGCUCAUAUUCCUGCAGCCUGGAGGCCGGGUGCUCAGGGCUGACACGUCCACCCCAGUGCACCCACUCUGCUUUGACUGAGCAGACUGGUGAGCAGACUGGUGGGAUCUGUGCCCAGAGAUGGGACUGGGAGGGCCCACUUCAGGGUUCUCCUCUCCCCUCUAAGGCCGAAGAAGGGUCCUUCCCUCUCCCCAAGACUUGGUGUCCUUUCCCUCCACUCCUUCCUGCCACCUGCUGCUGCUGCUGCUGCUAAUCUUCAGGGCACUGCUGCUGCCUUUAGUCGCUGAGGAAAAAUAAAGACAAAUGCUGCGCCCUU
rnacentral:lncRNA from 10 species